rnacentral:lncRNA from 1 species
UGCCACUCCCUGAUCAGCAAGUCCAAGUAGCAUGACGUCAUCAAUAGGUGGGUCAUAGUGAUGUUCUGUGUCAUGUCAGGAUGAGCAAGGUCCUUGCAGACAUGUAGACAGUGAAUGUAUACUGCUGUUCUUCACAUAUGAAGGCAACCACUAUAGAUUUUCCUUGUUGAUGGGGAUUGAGAAGAAAGCAUUUGCCAGCAAUCUGAAAGCCCUGUGCUGGGAUGGUGGUUUCCCAAAAUGGAAGCAGCCUGGAUCACCGAGUCACUGCAUGGAGGAUAGCUGCCCUAAAGACACACCCAACCCACACUGGAAUUUUCAUGAGCAAGAAAGAAAUCUUUAUUGUAAUGGGAAGCUUUCCUUUCCACAGGAGAAUCUAAAUAGCUCUCUAAACAGACACCAGCUGGGCAAACAGUGCAGCGAAUUUCGGCGCAAUGUGAUGAGAGCCACCACACCCACAGCCCAGGCCAAGCAGCCUCUCAGCACAGCAGCCAAAUUACAAAGAGCUGCGGAACGGCUCCUUUUGAUCUAACAGCGGGGUGCUUCCAUUUCUUCAGGGAAUGUUCCAUGCAGUCCUGUGGUUAGUCACAAAGCCUGAAGAUGAUAAACGUACUACAGCAUCGGCCAGUGUUUCCCUUCCAGGACCAGAAGUGGACGGAGCCUGAGCAAGCAGAAAAUAAUAAUACAGCUGGCAGCCUGGCAAGGGGCCAUAAUGAAACGCCUCCGAGUAGUCCUUAUUUCUGGAGCAGCCCUCCCUUCCCACCCCGCCUCACUUGCUGUGCUGGUCUGGGCACAGGGAUAGGGCCUUCCAUGUCCCUGUCCAAGGGAAGCCAGGGUAGUUUGCGAUCUUAAACACAGGGAAACACGGAAGUCAGCCUGCUCUGCCUCUGGCUCCCAAGGGGAAUUCCCAGCAGCUGUUUAAUAGAGUGCAUGCCCACCCAACAUUAUAUAAUUGUUCGAGGCGGGAUGAGAUGAGGUGAGAAAAAAUAAAAGAAUGAAUGACUCCUGUGAGAUUGCAGACAGUUGAGUAACCAGGUGGCAUGCUUCCCUUAAGGAAUGUUCUAGUGUGAUUGGGGAGUAAGUGUGAGAAGUGUUGUAGCAUCCUUGUGUUUUAGGGGAAUGAGGACUAGCCAGGGGCUUCUGCUAAGUAGGCAGUUUCCUUUGGGCUGGAGCUGGGACAAGUAUUUCCAGCUCAAAGCACCAGGGGACACUGUGGCAGAAGGAAGGGACAGAAGAG